CCCAAAGAGAUCGGGAUAACACCUGGAAACAGAUGCUAAUACCGGAUAACAACAGAUGAUGCCUAUCAACUGUUUAAAAAGAGUGGUUCUGCUAUCACUCUUGGAUGGACCUGCGGUGCAUUAGCUAGUUGGGUAGGGGUAAACGGGCCUACCAAGGCGAUGAUGCAUAGCCGAGUUGAGAGACUGAUCGGCCACAUUGGGACUGAGACACGGCCCAAACUCCGUACGGGAGGCAGCAGUAGGGAAUCUUCCACAAUGGACGCAAGUCUGAUGGAGCAACGCCGCGUGAGUGAAGAAGGGUUUCGGCUCGUAAAGCUCUGUUGUUGGUGAAGAAGGACAGGGGGUAGUAACUGACCUUUGUUUGACGGUAAUCAAUUAGAAAGUCACGGCUAACUACGUGCCAGCAGCCGCGGUAAAU
rnacentral:rRNA from 1 species